GAAAUGCGAUAAGUAAUGUGAAUUGCAGAAUUCAGUGAAUCAUCGAAUCUUUGAACGCACCUUGCGCUCCUUGGUAUUCCUUGGAGCAUGCCUGUUUGAGUAUCAUGAAAUCUUCAAAGUAAAUCUUUGUUAACUCAAUUGGUUUCUACUUUGGUAUUGGAGGUCUUUGCAGCUUCACACCUGCUCCUCUUUGUUCAUUAGCUGGAUCUCAGUGUUAUGCUUGGUUCCACUCGGCGUGAUAAGUUAUCUAUCGCUGAGGACACUGUAAAAGGUGGCCAAGGUAAAUGCAGAUGAACCGCUUCUAAUAGUCCAUUGACUUGGACAAUACUUUUAUGAUCUGAUCUCAAAUCAGGUAGGACUACCCGCUGAACUUAAGC
rnacentral:misc_RNA from 1 species